UUACAUCAUUCGCAUAUUUUAUAGUAAUAUUAAAUCAUACGAGUAAUGAAAUAUGAAAUAUAAAAUGAACGUCUUUAAGCGUACUUCCGAUAACACGUGUAAUAUGAUAUGUCUAUAUGUUAGAAUAUUCAUGUGUCCAAACGUUCUAAGAAUUAACAGCAGAUGCGUAUAAUAGCAAUUACUUUUUAUUCACUGCGAAAACCAGCGGUCCCCACACACUGCAAUAAUCACAUUUCGCAAGCAUUAGUUCAGUAAUAUAUACACAUAAAGAAAGCUACAGCGGCAGCUAGAAAUUAGGUGAAAAUAUCUAUACACGUGUAGCAUGAACAUAUCAAUACUUUACUAUAUUAUGAGUACAGACACGUUCAAGACGGUACAUAUAAUACGCACGCACGCUCGCAGAUGCACGAACGCAUACACUCACGCAAACACGCGCGAGGGCACGUCCGCACGCACGCACGCAUGCAGACACAAACGCAUACGCAUUCGUGCGCACGCACGCGCCCACGCGCGCACACACGCUGAACCACCCUAGUAUAAACCUAUAUCCAGGUAAUAUGUAAUUUAUCCGCAAACAAAUCAAGUAUACAAUCUCGGAACUCUUCCAAACACAUUAAACAAUUCAGCGACGUAUAAGUUUAAUCAUCAUACUUGCGCGAGUGUACAAAGCAAAUCGGUGGAAUAAAUACAACACAUCUCGGUUCUGUUUCAUAGUACACAAACAUUCAGCACCUAUACCACCACCUGCCAGACAACCCCCCUCGUAAGAUUGCAAGCCCUGCUUCCAACACACGUACCUACCACAAUUUAUUUCCAAUUACACAGCGAAACAUUGAGAACACAGCGCCCCCUUGAUACGAGACCCCAGCGCGACGGCGGCGCCACCUAGACGAUGCAUGGCGUAAAAAACGAAUCCGCCUUUUGACCCCCUCACUAGAGGUGGGAAGAUUCAUCGAUAAAUCGAUGUAUCAUGAUACAAACCUUACCGGUACACGCAUCGAUACGUUUAUCCAUUCACGAUACACAAUUCGAUGCUCUACUGAAUAAAAUCCAUAUAAUUUAGUAGCAUAGUUUCGUCGAAAAACAAAAGAUACAUGACACAAUUGGCAAUUCAAUAGCAGUUGUUUACUAAGCACUCCACAAUACUGAUUUGUAACCGUUCACCAAGUGUACAGUUUGCCAAGCACCUUCUCCUGAAAGUAUCGUGAUACGUAUUGUGAUAAAUAUCGAUAUAAUCAAAAAGGUGUAUCAUGAUACGUUACGUAUCGUGAAAGGUGUGUCGUGACACGUAUCGUACCGUAAGAGGUGUAUCGUGACACGUAUCAUAUCGUGAAAGGUGUAUCAUGAUACGUAUCGUACCGUAAGAGGUGUAUCGUGACACGUAUCGUAUCGUGAAAGGUGUAUCGUGACACGUAUCGUAUCGUAAAAGGUUGUAUCGUGAUACAUAUCGUAUCGUGAAAGGUUGUAUCGUGAAAGGUUGUAUCGUGAUACGUAUCAUACCGUAAGAGGUGUAUCGUGAUACGUAUCGUAUCGUGAAAGGUGUAUCGUGACACAUAUCGUAUCAUAAAAGGUUGUAUCGUGAUACAUAUCGUAUCGUGAAAGGUGUAUCGUGAUACGUAUCGUAUCGUGAAAGGUGUAUCGUGAUACACAUCGUAUCAUAAAAGGUUGUAUCAUGAUACGUAUCGUAUCGUGAAAGGUGUAUCGUGACAUGCAUCGUAUCAUAAAAGGUUGUAUCGUGAUACAUAUCAUAUCGUGAAAGGUUGUAUCGUGAUACGUAUCGUAUCGUGAAAGGUGUAUCGUGAUACGUAUCGUAUCGUGAAAGGUGUAUCGUGAUACACAUCGUAUCAUAAAAGGUUGUAUCGUGAUACGUAUCGUAUCGUGAAAGGUGUAUCGUGAUACGUAUCGUAUCGUGAAAGGUUUGUCGUGACACGCAUCGUAUCGUAAAAGGUUUAUCGCAAAAUGGAUCAUAUCGCGAGCUACCCGUAUCAUCCCACCCUUACCCGCUCACGUCCCUCGUGCGGCCAGCUGAAAUACGUGAUCCUUAAACCGUCGACUCAACAUCUCAAAGGAUUCAAACGUGACGAAAGGCGCGCGUGACGAUGCAAGCCAAUUGCAGCCGGCCUGUCGCGGGUAACGCCGCUGCCGGAACGCAUAUAUAGGUUCGGAUUGGUGCAGAGUGUGCACUACCACUACUAGAUAUGUACAGAGAGACCCACAACGCGACGACCGAAAAUAUAUAGGAAUACCGUCCACCAUCGCCGCCAACGCCACUAAUUGAAUAUCACAUUGGAAAACUUGAUUUUCAUCCCGCAGCACAGAAGAAGUCAAAUGUUUUUAUUAUCGAAAAGAUCCAACUCGUCAGAUGCAUUAUAUAUACAUAUAUAUGCGUGACAUAUAUGUAUACGUGUGCGUGUGUCUAUACAUAUAUACGUAACAUGCAUAUAUAUAUAUAUAUACACAUGCACAUAUGUAUACAUGUAUAUUGGCCGCAAGUUGUGUGGUGUUGGCGCCGUGACCCCCACAAUCCAAAAUGAUGAGCGUGUGAGGUGCAGUAACAGCAGCAGCCGCAGCAGCAGCUAUAGCAGCAGCAG